AAGACUUCCUGGCUUUCUCUUUCACCCCCCGCGGUGACUGGAUGAGUUCUUCGGAUCAACAGAAGACUAUGAGCUACACUGAAAAACUCUCUUGUCAAAGGUGGAUGUUGGUGGGGAUGGAAACUUCGUACCAGUAUUCCAUUACAUUUUGUUGCCGUGUGACAGAUGACAGCAGAGGGGCAGUCUGGAAGAAUGGCGUCUGACAUGGAAGUGCGACAGAAGCAAAGAUGUAUCACCGAAUUCAUCGCUGAAAAAGUUGUUCCUAUUGACAUUCGCUGACAAUUGCUGAACAUUUAUGGAGACCACACAGUGGAUGUGAGCACAGUGAGGAGUUACCAUGGGAAUAAAUAGGAGGCAUUACUUUUGGAAUGACCCACAUAUAAUGAACUCAUCAGAAGAGGAAAGCUGAGAGAUUCAGGAUGAAUUAAAACUCAUCAGCAACAUUCAGAGAGAAAGAGUAAAAACUAAGUGAUGAAAACAUGAAUAGAAACUUGACACUAGUGCACUGGCUUUGCUGAGUGACAACAGUUCAUAUUUAGCUGUGGAUUUGUUCCUUCUUGGAUACAAAAUUCAAAGAUUUCUUGCCCUGAGCAAGAAUCAAGAGAACGUAUUUUGUGAAUGUAAGAAAUCUUUCAAGAACUUCUGUCAACAUUAAAAUCAGCAAGAUUUUAAACUGUAUUAUGGUUUUUUUUGUUUGUUUGUUUGUUUUUAAGGUUUAGGGAUUUUUUUAAUUACUAUUUAUUCCUCAUUGCACAUUAGUGGAAAAAUAUACCAGUAAUGAAGACCUUUAGAAGCAUUCUAGACCUUUUAUCGUCCUUUUAAAAUCAACCUUAUGAAAUCCUUUGUGGAAUCUGGUUUGCUGGUUUUAUUCAUUUUAUCUUGUGAUUACAUACAAAAGUAAUAACAUUCUGUAACUGCUUUCUCUUCCUUCCCACUUUUCACCUCACCACAAAUGAUGUCUUUACAACAGCUGAUGUUUGUUUUUCCCCCUCAUACAAUGAAUAAAAAAUGAAUGUGCAUAGAACAAACAAUUACACAAUUAUUAUUUUUAAUAAAGAACAAACCUGAUGAAGU
rnacentral:lncRNA from 1 species